CAGCAAACGGCAGGCCAGUGGUUGAAAACGGGUUAUUGAUGAAAGAUGACAAAGGAGGCGGACACGAAUUGUGCAGCGCAACAGACAGGCUACAGUUAGUCAACUGACAGUCUAGCACAACAAAGCGAAUUGUGCAGCGCAACAGACAGGCUACAGUUAGUCAACUGACAGUCCAGCACAACAAAGCGAAUUGUGCAGCGCAACAGACAGGCUACAGUUAGUCAACUGACAGUCCAGCACAACAAAGCGAAUUGUGCAGCGCAACAGACAGGCUACAGUUAGUCAACUGACAGUCUAGCACAACAAAGCGAAUUGUGCAUAAAAUAACACACAACUCGUAGUACCUUGACACGAAUGUGGUAUGGCAGCCGACAACCUUACAGAGUUCCACUUCUGAGAGAAUGCCAAGAUUUGUUUAACACUUUUUUGGUUACUACAUGAUUCCAUUUGUGUUAUUUCAUAGUUUUGAUGUCUUCAUUAUUAUUCUACAAUGUAGAAGAUAGUAAAAAUAAAGAAAAACCCUUGAAUGAGUAGGAGUGUCCAAACUUUUGACUGGUACUGUAUGUACAUAAACACUUUGUUUUUUUACAAAUCCAUAUUUGGAGUCAAAUAUCAAUAUAAUAUCAUCCAAAAAUAUUACGAUAUGUCUAUCAACUCCCCCCCCAUCAAUAAUUAAGACAGUUUAAACCUCUGCAGUCCCGUUCCCUGUGUGUGUACUGUUGUCGUCUGGUGGACAUCUGUUAGGAAGAUUAUCAACUGUGCUUCUUGCAUUUCAGACAUCAUCAAGGACGUAGGCAACAAGGACGUAGGCAACGAGGACGUAGGCAACAAGGACGUAGGCAACGAGGACGUAGGCAACGAGGACGUAGGCAACAAGGACGUAGGCAAAGAGGACAUAGGCAACGAGGACGUAGGCAACGAGGACGUAAGAUUUACAUGUCAAAGGCUACAUAUUCCACUGCCUAACAGAGGGGGAAAAAAUGACUUUUCUACAUCAGUAGACUUUUCAUGUCAGUGGGAAAAUGGGUAUUAAAUAGCAUCUAGAUGACCCAGAUUGGAUUAUAAUGCCAUUUGAAGGAUACAGCUACAGGCAUCUCUCCCAGCAUCACUACUUUGCAUUAGGACAAAUUAACUCACAACCUCUCUGUUAUUCAGGAACCAUUUGAACAAUGACUAAAACGUGGGACAAUCACAGCGAAACACACACAUUUAAAAUGUCCUCUUAGAUCGACCGUCUGUUCAAAAUGUCGCUUGCCAGAGUAACACAGUCAUCAUUCCCAGGACUACAUUAGGCCACAUUAACUCAACCUCUGUCUUGGACAAUCACACACACUUUUAAAAUGCACUCUUAGUACCAUAGGAGUCCACAGGCUUGGUUAUCACUAGAUGUUAUAAAGGACCACAGGCUUGGUUAUCACUAGAUGUUAUAAAGGACCACAGGCUUGGU
rnacentral:lncRNA from 1 species